AAUAUACCCCAUCCUUUACUCCAAAAACUUCAAAUAGAGAACAAAUAGCCGCUCACGAAAGGUUUUUGAGAUUUUUUGUUCUUCACAAUCAGAAGAAGCUCACCCAUUUCGAGCAAAAAUCUGUACCGAAAUCUUUGAGAAAACCCCAAAUGUUGACCAAAAAUCUUUGAAUUGGAACCAAAGCAGAGUGCUUUUUCGUAGUGAAUAGAUUGACGUCGAGGUUCGCUUUCGAUUCAGAUUCUCCUUUGAGGUGUUAGUCGAGAUCCGGUCCCGAUUCAUGCGAGCUUCAUUAUAUGGUUCUGAUCUUAAAGGUUUUGUGCAUUAACUCCAUAAAUUAAACAAAUUUGGCUGUCAAAGGUUCCUUCUCUCACUCCUUUAUUUAAUUAUUGUGUGUAAAAAGUUAUAGUUUUAAAAGUGGUACCAAUUUCCUUUCUGUUGUUUUACGUAUUUGUUUUAGUAGAUUACAUCCAAUUGUUUUUUUGAGUUAAAGUAACAUUGGAAUCUACAAUUUGAAUAAUUGUUGGAAGCAUAUUUGAAUUCAUUAGUAUAAUCGCUACUAUGAUAUUAGAGUAGCAUUCUUGUUAAAUGGGUUAAUUGCUCCAAAAGCUGGAUACAACGAUUAGCCAUUUUAGGAGUUCAUUUCAUGAUGAGUUGUGGAAAUCUUAAGUAAUAUUUUGGGAGUUAAGUUGUUUGGAGGGAAUUAAAAUUGAUACAAUAGCUAAUUUGUAAUUUGGCUUGCUAAUAAUAAUUAAGUCAUGACCUCGCAAUAAUGUUAAAGUAGUCUAGAAAAAUAAUUUAUGAAUAUUUGUAAUUUGUUUUAGUUGAGUAAAGCCCUUUGGAAUAAUUUGAGAUGCACCGUGCCAAAUAGAAUCUCAACUGCAUGGCCCUCAUUUUAAAUUGUAUUGAUCUUUAGAAUCUGAGCCGAGCUGUUUAGUCGAAAUUCCAUGGCCCUCGCAAACUUGCAAACGCAUAUUCAUUUUAGGCGCUCUAGUUAAAUAAUUCACUUUCCUAAAUGCGGGUACGCAUUUAUGCGACCAAAAUCUAAAUUCCAACAAUAUUAAAAUAUGUCAAAAAUCACGGGUGCAUUUAUGUGACGUGAUUCGAGACGUGUUUUAAUAACGUUGUAAUUCUCUUUAAAAAAUAAUAAUAAAAGCGGUUAAAAAGUUAAAACUGGCACAUAGGUUCAUAAUUGUUUAAAAUUAGAUACUUUAAGCCAAAUAUAACAGUUGAGCGACCGUGCUAGAACCACGGAACCUGGGAAUGCCUAACACCUUCUCACGUGUUAACAGAAUUCCUUACUCGGAUUUCUAGUUGAUGAAGAAGAUGAAGUUGAAGAAGAUGACGAGCAAUAUAAUAAUGAUACUGGAGUACCAGAAUUUGACAAUAUUGUAGAAGAAUAUGAUGCUCAUUUCGUGCUUUAAUUGAUGCUAUUCUUGACAAUCUUGUAGAAGAAUAGGAUGCUCAUUUUGGGCUUUAGUUGGUGCUACUCUUUUGUUUUUUAAUUUAAGUAUUGAACAUUUGCUUACAUUUACAUGUGUUGUCUAUGCCGUAUUUAUUUUAAUUUCUUUUUAAAAUUCCACUUCACUUCAAAAAAGCGGACGCUUCGCUUCUCGCUUCUCGUGAAAUGGGGGUUGUCGCUUUUCCCCGUCUCACACUAUUUUUAACACUGGACAUAAUAUUAUCUGGGAACGGACCACACAAAAAAACAUAGCAUAAAAUAUAUACAUGCAUUUCACAUGUCUUCUAGACCUAACGAACAUGUUCGCUAGCUAUCCAACAUAGUGAGGGUCUUAUGAAUACAAAGGGAGUCCCUAUGUUUUUUUGAUCGGUAAGAGUCACAGCAAAUCAUUAAAAUUAAGGCAAAAAUCAAACUUUUUUCUUUUUAUAGUAGUGGUGUCAGAACCAACUUGCGCGCACAUCGAUUGAUUCAAUCGGUGGCCAGCCUACAAGCAAAGGUACCUCGCAAACCUGCCCACCUAUUACAACUAUGCUAUUCAAACAUAUAAAAAAACUCAGGCACCUAUACAACCCUCUUUAAAUAUAUUUCAGACUAAUAUAACUUAUUUGCCUUCUCAAUGAUUACUCAGUUACAGUACAUUGUUUACUCAAUCAUUAAUGUUGUCCAAACUAAUUGGAUCAAUUACAUUGGGACGUUGAAGACUAGAUCAUUGAGACGCUUCAAGGUUUGUUUGCUCCUCUUUUUGGUAUGAACCUACAAAUAAUAAGUAAUUAGUAAGAUUAGGACAAUCGAGAUAUAAUUUAAUUAUCUCAAUAUUCUAAAUCUUUCUUAUUAGUUCUUACAUGCUCAAACACACUCCAAUUCCUUUCACACUAGGGUGAGUUACAUGUUUGACUUAGAACUUUGAUGACAAACUUUUGUAAAUCUGGAGUGGAAUGACCAUAUUGUUUUUCACCAUCCAACUAUAGAAGUAGGACAAAUUUUCAAAACAUAAUAUUAAUUAAUAAAGACAUAACUUAUUAACUAUAAAACAACAUAUAAGCACUCGAUCAGCUGGUGACUUCGUCUUUCUUUGUCUAAUUGCCAUAUAUUUUCUAAAAAGUUAUUCGACAUUCCUAUAAAUAUUAAAUUGCUCUGUGAUUUUAUCUUGCAUGGAUUCUUCAGGUAUCAACUUCUCAAUGCAUUCAUAUUAUCCAUUCCACAAAGGUUCAUCUCUUAAAAUCCUCUCUUCAUUGUCAUAAAACAGUUCCGGGUUCAAAACAAGUCCAACUGCAUGCAAAGGGCUAUGAAGCUUACUAUCCCGCCUUUUAUCUAUGAUCUCAAAAACUCUUUUUGUAUUUUUUUAUCACUGAAAGAGGCUUGAAUAACAUCCUUUGCCAUAUCAAUUGCUUCGUACAAGUAGCCCAUUGGUGAUCUUUGCUCCCCAUCCACCAAAUGAAGCACUUUAACUGAAAGACCACCAAUUUUCAAUGCAUGAACCACAUUGUUCCAGAAUGAAGUAGAAAGUAUAAUAUCUGCAAAUUCUUUCCCUCGAGCUUCCUUUCCAUAGGCACUGCUAGUAUACUCAUCUGAAACAAACUUCUUCAAAUUGUUUGUUUGCUCAUAUAUUCUAGCCAAAGUCAAGAAAGCAGUAGCAAAUCUUGUCUUUGCAGGUUUCACCAAGCUUCUUUGCUCAUACAUCCUAGCCAAAGUCAAGAAUGCAGUAGCAAAUUUUGUCCUUGCAAGUUUCACCAAACUUCUUUGUUUAAUGAAUCUCUUCAUCAUGUUCAAUAACAAAGGCCUUUGAACAAUAUAGGAAUGCACUUUAAUUGCCCGAUUAAAGACAACACUGAAGGGCCUUUCCUUGAAAAUAUCACCGAAGAUCAAAUUAACAGAAUGUGCUGCACACGGAGUCCAAUAAAUAUGCCGGUAGCAAGCAGACAUCAUCUCACCAGCUUUAACAUUUUCACUGGCGUUGUCCGUGAUUGCUUGAACAACAUUUUCUGCUCCAAUAGAGUCUAUUGUACUCUUGAACAAGGAGUACAUUUUGGUUGAAUCAGUCGAAGAGUCGCUUGCAUCAACAGACUCAAGAAACAGAGGCUUCCCUCAGGAGAAUUCACCAAGAUAUUGAUGAUCAUUAUUCCAUUUCUCGCUGUCCACUUAUCCAUCAUGAUGGAACAACCAAACUUUUUCUAUUUUAUUUUGUGCUCCUCCACGAUUUUGUUCACCUCUGCCACCUUUUUUUUAGAUAUGGUCCACUAACUUCAUAAUAAGUUGGAGGCUUCAUUCCUGGCCAUAUUGGCCUACGACCUCAAUAAAAGCAACAAAAAUGUCAGUAUAAUUAAUACAAUUAAAAGGAACACCUGCAUCAUACAUCCACCGGGAAAAAAAGGUAACUGCAACGUCCCUCAAAAUCGCGUUUGCAUCAACUUGAAGAUUACCACUUUUUCUUCCCUUAUUUCCAGGUUUUUGUGAGAAGUAACAAUGCAUAGGACCUUUGGUCUUGCCAGUAGAUCUGCAACUAGAAGACAUUGGUGGAAGCAUCCUUCCCCGCUUUUGUGAUUUUGGUGGAAGCGACGAAUCAUCGUCACCUUCUUUUGUUUCAUCAUCAUCAUCAUCAAGAUUACAAAGUUCUUGUUCAUGAUUCAUUUGAGUCUUUAACUCUUUCUUUUUUUGAAGGUAUACUUUCAAUUCUUCCUUUACAUACCCCGGAACUUUAGGACAUGUGCGACAUUUGGAUCACCACCGAUUAGAUGCGCUUUUUGACGAUAGAUUCCUGUAUUUGUAAUCUUAUCACAAAAUAGACAUCUAAUGGCCAUCUUGUUGGUCUCGCUAACUCUUGUAGAGUAAGCCCAAGCCGGGUCUUUCCUAUCUUCUUUUGGCGCCAUUAAAAUAUUAACUACAUAACACAUAAGAAAGGCAAUAAGAACUAAGAAUAAAAUAUAUAUAAUUGGGUAGAAUCUGGGCAGAAAUGAGGCAGAAUUUUUCUGAAAAAAAUUUGUCAGCAUUUUAGCGUUUUUUUGGAGGUUUAGAAAGAAGAAGAAGAAGAAUGAAAAUAAAAACAUACCUGGUGAAACUUGAAAGCUGUUGUUGUAAUGCUGAAGAAGAAGAAGAACCCUAGUUUGCUUGAACAAAUCAUUGCUUCAUGCGAGGAAGAAAUUGCUGGUCUUUUGAGGAAGAAAAGGCUGGUUUGGAACCCUAGUUUGCUGCUGAAGAAGUGUCUAAAACAGAAGAUUCAACGAUUUGGGUCUUUUAAUUAAAAAAAACUCGUUUAGGCCUUUUAAUUCAAGAAGCGAUCGCUUCUUCCGCUCCCGACCGCUUCAUCGCUUCUCACUUAUUUUAGAGAAGCGGUCGCUUUUCUGUACAUGAGUCGCUUUUCUGUACAUGGGCCACUUUUAGUUGGGAUAGCGACCAAUCCAUCGCUCCGCUUCGCUUCUCGCUUAAAGCGAGGAAGCGGAUAACACUGAUUAUGUCCUAUGGAGAGAGCUAUAGAGAUAGAGGACCAUGAGGUGGGGUUCAACUAGAAAAACUGCUAUGAUUGGUAGUAUGUCUCAGUGUUGUGAAAAGCGAGCACUUCGUCGCUUAAAGCGCGAAGCGACUCGACGCGACCAACUGUCGCUUUUUACAGCUUGAAGCGAUGCGACCACCAGAAGCGCUCGAUUAACAGUGAAAAGCGAGGCGAGGCGAAGCGAUCGAAGCGACCGAAGCGAGCGAAGCGAUCGAUUACCCGAAAAAAUCGAUCGACCAGUUAAAAACAGAGAUCGACCAGUUCUGGAAUUAGAGUUUCCACUUUCUAGCGACGGAAAUUAGAAACAGAGCUCGACCAACGACCCCUCUUCUUCUCCAGUGACGGAAAUUAGGGUUUCCAUCUUCNNNN
rnacentral:lncRNA from 1 species